rnacentral:rRNA from 1 species
AUUGAACGCUGGCGGCAGGCCUAACACAUGCAAGUCGAACGAGUGGCGGACGGGUGAGUAUUGUCUGGGAAACUGCCUGAUGGAGGGGGGUAACUACUGGAAACGGUAGCUAAUACUGCAUACCAUCAGAUGUGCCCAGAUGGGAUUAGCUUGUUGGUGGGGUAACGGCUCACCAAGGCGACGAUCCCUAGCUGGUCUGAGAGGAUGACCAGCCACACUGGAACGGAGACACGGUCCAGACUCCUACGGGAGGGAGCAGUGGGGAGUAUUGCACAAUGGGCGCAAGCCUGAUGCGGCCAAGCCGAGUGUAUGGAGAGGGGCUUCGGGUUGUAAAGUACUUUCAGCGGGGAGGCGUUACCCGCAGAAGAAGCACCGGCUAACUCCGUGCCAGCAGCCGCGGUAAUAC